UACGAAGGGGGCUAGCGUUGUUCGAAAUUACUGGGCGUAAAGCGCACGUAGGCGGAUCUUUAAGUCAGGGGUGAAAUCCCGAGGCUCAACCUCGGAACUGCCUUUGAUACUGGGGAUAUCGAGUCCGGGAGAGGUGAGUGGAACUGCGAGUGUAGAGGUGAAAUUCGUAGAUAUUCGCAAGAACACCAGUGGCGAAGGCGGCUCACUGGCCCGGUACUGACGCUGAGGUGCGAAAGCGUGGGAGCAACAGG
rnacentral:rRNA from 1 species